GAAAUGCGAUAAUUAAUGUGAAUUGCAGAAUUCAGUGUAUCAUCGAGUCUUUGAACGCACAUUGCGCCCCCUGGUAUUCCGGGGGGCAUGCCUGUCCGAGCGUCAUUGCUGCCCUCAAGCACGGCUUGUGUGUUGGGCUUCCGUCCCUGGCAACGGGGACGGGCCCAAAAGGCAGUGGCGGCACCAUGUCUGGUCCUCGAGCGUAUGGGGCUUUGUCACCCGCUCCCGUAGGUCCAGCUGGCAGCUAGCCUCGCAACCAAUCUUUUUAACCAGGUUGACCUCGGAUCAGGUAGGGAUACCCGCUGAACUUAAGC
rnacentral:misc_RNA from 1 species